GCCCUAGUAGCUUAAUUUUUAAAGCAUCGGUUUUGUAAUCCGAAGACUGGGGGUUAAAUUCCCCCCUGGCGCC
rnacentral:tRNA from 1 species